rnacentral:lncRNA from 1 species
UUUCCUUUAUGUACAUUGACUGAGUUCUCCAAAGAAUGUGUGUUCUAAGUUCUGGCCGGUGUAGCCAGCUGACGUUCUCAAUGUCAUCAGCAAUAAAUGUACAAAAGUUCUGGUUUUCUCAGCAUCUGUGCCUGAACUGAAGCUAAUCAUUCACUUUAGUUUCUGUGACUUUUUUUGUGGCAAAAAAUACCCUAUUUUGUUUACUGUCUUAACUUAUACUUUUCAUGACUAGUUGAAUCAAUUUUUGUUGUCGUUAACAAUUUGUAAAAGCUUUCCCACUUUGUCAUUUGCCCUGAAUCUGAUUAUGCUGUUUUUUCCUUGCAGACAGUUUUAAACUUGGGUCUUACUAGAUAUAUAUUUUUUGUAGUUGCUUUUAGAUUUUCAGUGUUAAGUUCAAUUCCAUCCCCAAACCAUUAAUAUC